rnacentral:rRNA from 1 species
GAAAGGAACCUAAAUAUUACAAAUGCACCAGAUCCCGUCAGAUCUUAGAAGCCAAAUAGGGGCAGGUCUGGUUAGGACUCGGAUGUGAGAUUACAUAGGAAUGUCGGAUGCUGCAGGCU